rnacentral:rRNA from 1 species
AUGAGGAGGGCGCAGCCGCAGCAGGGGACGGGGGUGGUGCGCGUCGACAAGGCGUCGCCCGCGUCCAGCUUCCGCCAGCUCGACGACGCCUUCCUGCAGAAACAAACAAAAAUCUGGCUUGGCGAAGUUCUCCAUGUCAGGUUUGAUGAAGACAUUUUGGUAGCAGACCUUCUAGGUGACGGGGAAUUGCUAUUUCAAGUUUCCAAAGUGAUAUGGAAGAGGCUACUCAGAAAGAACAAAGAACAACUCAAGCAAUCAAAAGUAUAUAUUUAUGAGAGACCAUCUUUUGGUAAAAGCAACGGGAAAUAUACGCCCUAUCCAAAAGUAGACUCGUUUCUAAAGGUAUGCCAAACCCUUGGAUUAGCUGGAAUUGAUUUGUUUACCCCUUCUGAUGUGGUCGAGAAAAGAAAUGUUCGAAAAGUCUGCAUGUGCAUACGCUCACUCUCUAAAAAGGCCGGGAUGAUGCAGCUAAACGUGCCUGAUUUUGAUGUUGUUACCCACACAAUAGCCAUGCCCAACUAUAUUGUUGGAGGCAUCCGCAGAAGUCUGGAGCAGCCACAAUGCAGUUCAUCUUGUUCGAGUGGGCACAGUCCGCGUGCCAUUUCUAAAAGCAUAUUUGAAGGACAGAGUGAUGAGCAAAGCGACCGACAUUAUGACUCUGAUGAAGCAGAGAGCAGUCUCUUUGUGCUAGGGCCUCAGGAUUCUCUUGAUGACGACAAACUUUCUGAGCUUUUGCAGUUGGGUGAUGCCCCCAAGGAAGAAAGAGAAGGCUAUGGAGACAGUGGUCAUGAAAUGCCCAAAGAGAAGUCGCUAGCUGAAUCAGCGGGAUCACUUGAUGCUGGUGUUAUGGGUGCUGAUACUACGAAUUCAACUCCUUUUCAUGAGAACCUACUCUCACCAACAGAUCGGUGUUCAACAACUAGAAGAAAUAAAUGUUCACUAAGUUCAGAAGAGUCAGACUCCAUAAACAGUUAUUUAGCGUGCGACAGUAGCAAGAAUGAUGUGGGCGGUCCUCCUGUCGAAGUGUCUGAAAGGAUUCAUGAUGGACACGUCGAACCUUCACAUGAUUCUGUUCAGGGAAAUGGGAAAAUAUUCACUGAUCAUCCAGAAAAAGACGAUAGCGCAAGGACUAAGGAUCACAUGGAUGCUUGCAAAUCCGACGAACUGGAUAAAACUGAAAACAACAGAAAUGCUCAGGGGACCGGGAACAAUGCUCCCAAAUCAGGGAAAGGAGUGCUGAAGUCAGUUGCUGGAGGGAUCACGCUCAUCGGCGCGGUGUUCUUCGUAGCUCAUCUCAGGAGGAGCAAGGGGAUAAGCUUUACAACAAUUUUGCCUUCACUUUCUGAAAAAUCAAUUCAGAGCGACUCAAGGGCGAAGAAUGUAGACAACGGAAAGACAACCGAGGUGUAUCCAGGCGGAUGGCUCAAGGUUUGA